UGUGGCUCAGUGGUUGAGCGCCUGCCUAGCAUGUAUGAGACACUGAGUUCGACUCUCAGCA
rnacentral:tRNA from 1 species